UCCGGCUUAUCACCGGCAGUCCCACUAGAGUGCCCAACUGAAUGAUGGCAACUAAUGGCGAGGGUUGCGCUCGUUGCGGGACUUAACCCAACAUCUCACGACACGAGCUGACGACAGCCAUGCAGCACCUGUGCACAGGCCCCGAAGGGAGGAUGACUUUCAUCACCUGUCCUGCACAUGUCAAACCCAGGUAAGGUUCUUCGCGUUGCGUCGAAUUAAACCACAUGCUCCGCCGCUUGUGCGGGCCCCCGUCAAUUCCUUUGAGUUUCAGCCUUGCGGCCGUACUCCCCAGGCGGGGUACUUCCUGCGUUAGCGCCGGCACCCAAGGGGUCGCUCCCCCAGGCACCUAGUACCCAUCGUUUACGGCGUGGACUAC
rnacentral:misc_RNA from 1 species